rnacentral:tRNA from 1 species
GGAGAGGUGGCCGAGCGGCUGAAGGCGCUCCCCUGCUAAGGGAGUAUGGGGGCCAAAACCUCCAUCGAGGGUUCAAAUCCCUCCCUCUCCGCCA